AUGCUGGGUAUCCGGUCCCCUGCCGUCCCCUCUGCCUCGUCAUUGUCGUCCUUAUCAUCGCCAUUGCUGUCCAGCUCUGACCGCAGCGUGAACAGCCCGGGAGUCUGGGACUCUUCAGCGCCUCAGAUGUGCAGGUGGUUCCCCAGCAUGACUGCAGCUGACUGCUGUUCUCUCCAAUCCCUUCAUUUCCCCUUUUUUUCUUUAAUACUUAGAAAUUUGCGCUUACUCAGCUCGCAGGGAUACAGCAGAUGCCUUCAGGAUCUUUCAGCGGAUCCACUGUGUGUGUUGUCAUGGAAAUGGAAUCUUUGCUAGUAGAGAUGGAGUCAGAUGAAGACAGCAAAUGAUAACUAAGUCAACUUUAUAAGAGUACAAGCCAUUCCCCAAUUGACAAAUGGUCAAAGGAUGUAAACUAACAGUUUUCAGAUGAAGGAAUUAAAG
rnacentral:lncRNA from 1 species